rnacentral:rRNA from 1 species
AACGAACGCUGGCGGCGUGCCUAAUACAUGCAAGUCGAGCGAAUGGAUUAAGAGCUUGCUCUUAUGAAGUUAGCGGCGGACGGGUGAGUAACACGUGGGUAACCUGCCCAUAAGACUGGGAUAACUCCGGGAAACCGGGGCUAAUACCAGAUAACAUUUUGAACCGCAUGGUUCGAAAUUGAAAGGCGGCUUCGGCUGUCACUUAUGGAUGGACCCGCGUCGCAUUAGCUAGUUGGUGAGGUAACGGCUCACCAAGGCAACGAUGCGUAGCCGACCUGAGAGGGUGAUCGGCCACACUGGGACUGAGACACGGCCCAGACUCCUACGGGAGGCAGCAGUAGGGAAUCUUCCGCAAUGGACGAAAGUCUGACGGAGCAACGCCGCGUGAGUGAUGAAGGCUUUCGGGUCGUAAAACUCUGUUGUUAGGGAAGAACAAGUGCUAAUUGAAUAAGCUGGCACCUUGACGGUACCUAACCAGAAAGCCACGGCUAACUACGUGCCAGCAGCCGCCGUAA